AGACUUUAGAUAUGAUCCAGAGUACCACGGGACACGUGAAACCCUGUGGGAAGCAGGAGGGACCACCCUCCAAGGCUAAAUACUACCUAGUGACCGAUAGCGUAUAGUACCGUGAGGGAAAGGUGAAAAGAACCCCGGGAGGGGAGUGAAAUAGAACCUGAAACCCUGCACUUACAAGCUGUGGAAGCACAUUUCUUGUGUGACCGCGUACUUUUUGUAGAACGGGCCAACGAGUUACGUUAAGUAGCAAGGUUAAGCACUUAAGGUGGGAGCCGUAGCGAAAGCGAGUUUUAACUGAGCGUUCAGUUACUUGACGUAGACCCGAAACCGGGCGACCUACCCAUGAGCAGGAUGAAGCGAAAGUAAAAUUUCGUGGAGGUCCGAACCCACGAGCGUUGAAAAGCUCGGGGAUGACUUGUGGGUAGCGGUGAAAUUCCAAUCGAGCCCGGAGAUAGCUGGUUCUCCCCGAAAUAGCUUUAGGGCUAGCCUCAAGGUGAGAGAUACGGAGGUAGAGCACUGAAUGUCCUAGGGGGUAUUGCACCUACCGAAGACUAUCAAACUCCGAAUGCCGUCAUCUUAUACUUGGGAGUCAGACUGUGGGUGAUAAGAUUCAUAGUCGAAAGGGCAACAGCCCAGAUCGUCAGCUAAGGUCCCUAAAUGUAAGUUAAGUGGUAAAGGAUGUGGGAUUGCACAGACAACCAGGAUGUUGGCUUAGAAGCAGCCACUCAUUCAAAGAGUGCGUAAUAGCUCACUGGUCGAGUGAUCCUGCGCCGAAGAUUUCCGGGGCUAAAACUUACUACCGAAGCUACGGCAUCAGUAAUGAUGGGUAGGGGAGCUUCCCAUACGGGUUGAAGCAUGACCGUAAGGACAUGUGGACAGUAUGGGAGUGAGAAUGUUGGCAUGAGUAGCGAGAUGUGGGUGAGAAUCCCACAGGCCGUAAACCCAAGGUUUCCAGGGGAAGGUUCGUCCGCCCUGGGUUAGUCGGGACCUAAGCUGAGGCCGAAAGGCGUAGGUGAUGGACAACAGGUUGAUAUUCCUGUACUACCGAUAACCGUUUGAGAGAAGGGAUGACACAGUAGGAUAAGCUAAGCACACUGUUGGUUAUGUGUGCCCAAGCAUUGAGGCAGUCAAAGUAGGCAAAUCCGCUUUGAUAAUGCUGGGAUGUGAUGGGGAGCGAAAUUUAGUAGCGAAGUAGCUGAUUUCACACUGUCAAGAAAAGUCUCUAUCGAGGUUAAAGGUACCCGUACCGCAAACCGACACAGGUGGGUGAGGAGAGUAUCCUAAGGCCAGCGAGAGAACUGUUGUUAAGGAACUCGGCAAAAUGACCCCGUAACUUAGGGAUAAGGGGUGCCACCAUCAGGUGGCCGCAGAGAAUAGGCCCAAGCGACUGUUUACCAAAAACAUAGGUUUCUGCUAAGUCGCAAGACGAUGUAUAGGAGCUGACGCCUGCCCGGUGCUGGAAGGUUAAGGGGAUCUGUUAGAGCAAUCGAAGCAGUGAACUUAAGCCCCAGUAAACGGCGGCCGUAACUAUAACGGUCCUAAGGUAGCGAAAUUCCUUGUCGGGUAAGUUCCGACCCGCACGAAAGGCGUAACGAUUUGGGCACUGUCUCAACAACAGACUCGGUGAAAUUGUAAUUCCGGUGAAGAUGCCGGAUACCUGCGACAGGACGGAAAGACCCCAUGGAGCUUUACUGUAGCUUGACAUUGGGUCUUGGUACUACAUGUACAGGAUAGGUGGGAGGCUUUGAAACCAGGACGCCAGUUUUGGCGGAGCCAUCCUUGGGAUACCACCCUUGUAGUACUGGGACUCUAACCAUAGGCCAUGAAUCUGGUCUUGGGACACUGUCAGGUGGGCAGUUUGACUGGGGCGGUCGCCUCCCAAAAGGUAACGGAGGCGCUCAAAGGUUCUCUCAGUACGGUCGGAAAUCGUACGUAGAGUGUAAAGGCAAAAGAGAGCUUGAUUGCAAGACAUACAGGUCGAGCAAGGAUGAAAAUCGGACUUAGUGAUCCGGUGGUUCUGCGUGGAAGGGCCAUCGCUCAACGGAUAAAAGCUACCCUGGGGAUAACAGGCUUAUCUCCCCCAAGAGUCCACAUCGACGGGGAGGUUUGGCACCUCGAUGUCGGCUCAUCACAUCCUGGGGCUGUAGUAGGUCCCAAGGGUUGGGCUGUUCGCCCAUUAAAGUGGUACGCGAGCUGGGUUCAGAACGUCGUGAGACAGUUCGGUCCCUAUCCGUCGCAGGCGUAGGAAAUUUGAGAAGACCUGUCCUUAGUACGAGAGGACCGGGAUGGACGUACCUCUGGUGUACCAGUUGUUCUGCCAAGGGCAUGGCUGGGUAGCUAUGUACGGAAUGGAUAAGCGCUGAAAGCAUCUAAGCGCGAAGCCAACUUCAAGAUAAGAUUUCCCACCGCAAGGGUAAGACCCCAGAAAGACUAUCUGGUUGAUAGGUCGAAGGUGUAAGUGCAGCAAUGUAUUUAGCUUAUCGAUACUAAUAGGUCGAGGACUUGACCA
rnacentral:rRNA from 1 species